rnacentral:SRP_RNA from 11 species
GGCGGGAAGGCAGCAGGGUUGAGCGAUCUCUGUGUU